rnacentral:rRNA from 1 species
UACGAAGGGGGGCUAGCGUUGCUCGGAUUGACUGGGCGUAAAGGGCGCGUAGGCGGUUCGUACAGUCAGACGUGAAAUUCCUGGGCUCAACCUGGGGGCUGCGUUUGAUACGUGCGGGCUUGAGUUCGGAAGAGGGUCGUGGAAUUCCCAGUGUGAGAGGUGGAAAUUCGUUAGAUAUUGGGAAGAACACCGGUGGCGAAGGCGGCGACCUGGGUCCGAUACUGACGCUGAGGCGCGAAGACGUGGGGAGCAAACAGG